GACGAACGCUGGCGGCGUGCUUAACACAUGCAAGUCGAACGGAAAGGCCCUGCUUUUGUGGGGUGCUCGAGUGGCGAACGGGUGAGUAACACGUGAGUAACCUGCCCUUGACUUUGGGAUAACUUCAGGAAACUGGGGCUAAUACCGGAUAGGAGCUCCUGCUGCAUGGUGGGGGUUGGAAAGUUUCGGCGGUUGGGGAUGGACUCGCGGCUUAUCAGCUUGUUGGUGGGGUAGUGGCUUACCAAGGCUUUGACGGGUAGCCGGCCUGAGAGGGUGACCGGCCACAUUGGGACUGAGAUACGGACCAGACUCCUACGGGAGGCAGCAGUGGGGAAUAUUGCCCAAUGGGCGGAAGCCUGAUGCAGCAACGCCGCGUGCGGGAUGACGGCCUUCGGGUUGUAAACCGCUUUCGCCUGUGACGAAGCGUGAGUGACGGUAAUGGGUAAAGAAGCACCGGCUAACUACGUG
rnacentral:rRNA from 1 species